CAGCCGCCGCGGGAAUACGAAGGGGGCUAGCGUUGCUCGGAAUGACUGGGCGUAAAGGGCGCGUAGGCGGUUUAUACAGUCAGAUGUGAAAUUCCUGGGCUCAACCUGGGGACUGCAUUUGAUACGUAUGGACUUGAGUGGAGAAGAGGGUCGUGGAAUUUCCAGUGUAGAGGUGAAAUUCGUAGAUAUUGGAAAGAACACCGGUGGCGAAGGCGGCGACCUGGUCUUUAGCUGACGCUGAGGCGCGAAAGCGUGGGGAGCAAACAGGAUUAGAUACCCCUGUAGUCCCUGUCUCUUAUAC
rnacentral:rRNA from 1 species